rnacentral:lncRNA from 1 species
AACAUUUCCUUCACACUAUACAAUUGCACAUAUCAACAGAUAAGACAGAUUUGCAGAAACCUCAAUCAAAAGAAGAUUAAUUGUUCACUGAUUCACUGUGACACUGUGUGUUCUGUAGUGUGGAUCAUGGAGGAGAGAUCAGGAUUACAGCAGGACAACGCAAAUAUUCCCUUCAGCUCACUUUGGAUCCGAACACAGCGAAUAAACACCUCCAUCUGUCUAAGAGGAACAGAGUUGUUACCGUUUCUCUCAAAAAUCAGUCAUAUCCCCAUCAUCCAGACAGAUUUGAUGAUGUGCUUCAGGUGUUGUGUGAAGAGAGCGUGUGUGGACGCUGUUACUGGGAGAUUGAGUGUUCUUUGGAUGAUCCUAAUGUUGAUAUAUCAGUGUCAUAUAAGAGCAUCAACAGGAAGGGACGGGGUAAUGAGUGUGUGUUUGGGCAUAAUGAUCAGUCCUGGAGUUUGAUGUGCUCUGAAUUCCAUAACUCGUUCAUACACAAUAAUAUAAAGACUAAACUCCCUAUGGAGCCCAUCAGAACAGGAUUUUAUUGGCAUAAUAGAAUAGGAGUGUUUGUGGAUCACAGUGCAGGAAUUCUGUCCUUCUACAGAAUCUGCAAAGACACAAUGAGCCUAAUCCACACAGUCCAGACCACAUUCACUCAGCCGCUCUAUCCUGGGAUUAGGUUCCGUUCUCCAUUGUUUAUUGCCACCGGUCAAGCAGUGAAACUGUGUUGAUGAAUCAGAAUACAUUCUAGAGAGAUUUUACCCAUAAUGCUUUGAUAUCUUCAUGAUAAAUCAGUGACUGUCACACUGGCUUGACUAGAUAAGAUAAGAGGUUUGAUGCAGAAAGACAAUGAACAAUUAUAUUUAAUAAAAAUCAGGUAUAAACACCAGCACAAAACGUUAACACAAGUGAAAUGAACAUAAGAUGACUAAGGGUUAAAAUAGACUAGAUCAGUGGUUCUCAACCACGCUCCUGUUUCUGGCUUCCAAGACCAACUCUUAUCUAUUUGAAUGCGGGAAUCCUGCAAUCUCAAAACCUGCUUGUUAAUGUCAGGGCUAAUGCGCUAAUGUCAGAAUUGUGUGAUGUUGAGUUUUACAAUAAAAGCCAUCAAAAACUCAUAUAUAUACAGAGGUGGAAAGUAACGAAUAACAUUUACUUGUGUUACGGUAAUUGAGUAGCUUUUUUGUGUACUUCUACUUUUUAAAGUAAUUUUUAAAAUCUGUAAUUUUACUUUUACUCAAGUAUAUUUAGUUUGAAGUAUUGUACUUCACUACAUUUUAAAACACAAUAAUUACUGAGUAAAAAAAAAAUCACUCCCUGGAAACUACUGCUGUAAAUAAUGG